AUUUAUAUAAUAUAUUUAGUAUAUUUGACUUCCAAUCAAAAAGUUUAAUUUUUAUUAAUGUAAAUA
rnacentral:tRNA from 1 species